UACAGAGGUCCCAAGCGUUGUUCGGAUUCACUGGGCGUAAAGGGUGCGUAGGCGGUCGGGUAAGUCUGAUGUGAAAUCUCACAGCUUAACUGUGAAACUGCAUUGGAUACUAUCCGGCUCGAGGAAUGGAGGGGAGACUGGAAUACUUGGUGUAGCAGUGAAAUGCGUAGAUAUCAAGUGGAACACCAGUGGCGAAGGCGGGUCUCUGGGCCGAUAUUGACGCUGAGGAGCGAAAGCGUGGGGAGCAAACAGG
rnacentral:rRNA from 1 species